AUGUCUAAGUAUAAGCAAUUAUACAGCGAAACUGCGAAUGGCUCAUUAUAUAAGUUAUCGUUUAUUUGAUAGUACCUUACUACUUGGAUAACCGUGGUAAUUCUAGAGCUAAUACAUGCUAAAAAUCCCGACUUCGGAAGGGAUGUAUUUAUUAGAUUAAAAACCAAUGCCCUCUGGGCUCCUUGGUGAUUCAUAAUAACUUUUCGAAUCGCAUGGCCUUGCGCCGGCGAUGGUUCAUUCAAAUUUCUUCCCUAUCAACUUUCGAUGUUUGGGUAUUGGCCAAACAUGGUCGCAACGGGUAACGGAGGGUUAGGGCUCGACCCCGGAGAAGGAGCCUGAGAAACGGCUACUACAUCCAAGGAAGGCAGCAGGCGCGCAAAUUACCCAAUCCCGAUUCGGGGAGGUAGUGACAAUAAAUACUGAUACAGGGCUCUUUUGGGUCUUGUAAUUGGAAUGAGUACAAUUUAAAUCCCUUAACGAGGAACAAUUGGAGGGCAAGUCUGGUGCCAGCAGCCGCGGUAAUUCCAGCUCCAAUAGCGUAUAUUAAAGUUGUUGUGGUUAAAAAGCUCGUAGUUGAACCUUGGGCCUGGCUGGCCGGUCCGCCUCACCGCGUGUACUGGUCCGGCCGGGCCUUUCCCUCUGUGGAACCUCAUGCCCUUCACUGGGUGUGGCGGGGAAACAGGACUUUUACUUUGAAAAAAUUAGAGUGCUCCAGGCAGGCCUAUGCUCGAAUACAUUAGCAUGGAAUAAUAAAAUAGGACGUGUGGUUCUAUUUUGUUGGUUUCUAGGACCGCCGUAAUGAUUAAUAGGGACAGUCGGGGGCAUCAGUAUUCAAUUGUCAGAGGUGAAAUUCUUGGAUUUAUUGAAGACUAACUACUGCGAAAGCAUUUGCCAAGGAUGUUUUCAUUAAUCAGGAACGAAAGUUAGGGGAUCGAAGACGAUCAGAUACCGUCGUAGUCUUAACCAUAAACUAUGCCGACUAGGGAUCGGACGAUGUUAUUUUUUGACGCGUUCGGCACCUUACGAGAAAUCAAAGUGCUUGGGCUCCAGGGGGAGUAUGGUCGCAA
rnacentral:rRNA from 1 species